rnacentral:tRNA from 1 species
CGCGGGGUGGAGCAAUGGAAGCUCGCAAGGCUCAUAACCUUGAGGUUGCCGGUUCGAGUCCGGCCCCCGCAA